rnacentral:rRNA from 1 species
CCUACGGGGGACAGCAGUGGGGAAUAUUGGGCAAUGGGCGCAAGCCUGACCCAGCAACGCCGCGUGAAGGAAGAAGGCUUUCGGGUUGUAAACUUCUUUUAAGAGGGAAGAGCAGAAGACGGUACCUCUUGAAUAAGCCACGGCUAACUACGUGCCAGCAGCCGCGGUAAUACGUAGGUGGCAAGCGUUGUCCGGAUUUACUGGGUGUAAAGGGCGUGUAGCCGGGCUGACAAGUCAGAUGUGAAAUGCGGGGGCUCAACCCCCGAACUGAAUUUGAAACUGUUGGUCUUGAGUAUCGGAGAGGCAGGCGGAAUUCCUAGUGUAGCGGUGAAAUGCGUAGAUAUUAGGAGGAACACCAGUGGCGAAGGCGGCCUGCUGGACGACAACUGACGGUGAGGCGCGAAAGCGUGGGGAGCAAACAGGAUUAGAUACCCGUGUAGUC